rnacentral:tRNA from 1 species
GCUCCGGUGGUGUAGCCCGGUUUAGCAUAGCGGCCUUAGCAGCCGUUGAUCGCGGGUUCGAAUCCCGCCCGGAAGG